rnacentral:misc_RNA from 1 species
UCCGGUUUGUCACCGGCAGUCCCUCAUGAGUCCCCGGCAUUACCCGCUGGCAACAUGAGGCAGGGGUUGCGCUCGUUGCGGGACUUAACCCAACACCUCACGACACGAGCUGACGACAGCCAUGCACCACCUGUGCACAGGCCCCGAAGGGCUGCCGUGUUUCCACGACAUUCCUGUGCAUGUCAAGCCUUGGUAAGGUUCUUCGCGUCGCGUCGAAUUAAACGACAUGCUCCGCUGCUUGUGCGGGCCCCCGUCAAUUCCUUUGAGUUUUGGCCUUGCGGCCGUACUCCCCAGGCGGGGCACUUAAUGCGUUAGCUGCGGCACGGGAGGAGUCGACACCUCCCACACCUAGUGCCCAUCGUUUACAGCGUGGACUAC